CUGUUGCCUCAACUGAAGCAAACUCCUAUAGAGGAGAAACGGCAGACACAGCGCAGCCUGAGAGCCGGCUAUAGGGACGUGUACACACAGGGGGAAGAGAGGAGGCAUUGUGCUGACAAGAAAGCGGCUGGAGCCGGCGGGAACUAGACAGCAGCCCGGCCACUGUGCUCCACAGCCCUGCUGAGGGGAGACGAGUGCCCUCCCAUCUGUGCCUGUACAUCGACUGCUGAGGAGCGCGGGAGCCUGGGGAGAGCGUACCACCACAGUCACCCGGAGGGGAGAGCUCGUGUCCCCCCUCGCACCCCCGCUCUUUAAUGUGAUCGCCGUUCAUGUGUGUGGACACUCGGGGGCGGAAGAAGGAAAGUGCGGCUGUUGGUCUGGGCGCCGGUGAAGUUUCGUCGUUCUCCGCUGCUGGGGCUGCAGCGUCGCUCGUGCCCUCCACACGUCCAGCUUUCCGUCAUCCUCAUCAUUACUGGUGUUAGCGCUCCUCUUUCCCGAGAGAUUGGAUAAUGGUGGGGGAAAUGGAAACAAAGGAAAAACCCAAGCCGACCCCAGACUAUCUGAUGCAGCUAAUGAACGACAAGAAGCUCAUGAGCAGCUUGCCCAACUUCUGCGGGAUAUUUAACCACCUGGAGCGGCUCCUGGAUGAAGAGAUCAGCAGAGUACGGAAAGACAUGUACAACGACACGUUAAAUGGCAGUGGCAACCCUGACAGACGAUGUGCCGAAUUGCCAGAUGGAAUUGGACCUAUUGUACAGUUACAAGAAAAACUUUAUGUGCCUGUAAAAGAAUAUCCAGAUUUUAAUUUUGUUGGACGUAUCCUUGGACCCCGAGGACUAACAGCUAAGCAAUUGGAAGCAGAAACCGGAUGCAAGAUUAUGGUUCGAGGCAAAGGCUCAAUGAGAGAUAAGAAGAAGGAGGAACAAAAUAGAGGAAAGCCAAACUGGGAGCAUCUGAAUGAAGACCUGCAUGUACUGAUCACAGUAGAAGAUGCCCAAAACCGAGCAGAAAUUAAAUUAAGAAGAGCAGUGGAAGAAGUGAAAAAGUUACUGGUUCCUGCAGCUGAAGGAGAAGACAGUUUAAAAAAAAUGCAGUUGAUGGAACUGGCCAUACUGAAUGGCACUUACAGAGACGCCAACUUAAAAUCACCAGCCCUUGCCUUUUCUCUUGCAGCGACAGCUCAGGCACCACGGAUUAUAACUGGGCCUGCGCCUGUACUGCCCCCAGCUGCUCUGCGUACACCUACGCCAGCUGGCCCUACCUUAAUGCCUUUGAUCAGACAAAUACAGACAGCCGCUGUCAUGCCAAAUGGAUCCCCUCAUCCAACUGCUACACUAGUCUCACAGGGACCGGAAGCUGGCUUGAUCUACACACCGUAUGACUACCCUUAUACACUGGCCCCAGCAACAUCCAUCCUUGAGUAUCCUAUUGAAACAAGCGGGGUAUUAGGUAUGGCUUUCCCCACGAAAGGCUAAGAAUUCAAGAAAAUCUUAAAUGACCCUUCAAUGAUCAUCAGAUUUGAAAUUUAGCAUUUGCCUAGUUUCAGCAUUCUUGAACAAAAAAGUUACAUAAACUUUGCCUAGCAGUCAGUGACUUACUUGCACUUAUUUUUUAUUUUGCACAUAGAUGAAAUAAACCUUUUUAUGUUGAUCAAUAUUUGAUUUAGACUAUAAGUAGCCGUGAGUGUGUAGUAGAAUGCUGACUGCUAAGUUACCUACUUUGUGCGCUAUACUAAUCACUUAAUUCAUGUGGUUUCUACUUACUGAAUACUCAAAUCCUUGAAAAUAUACAACUGGAAUAUUAAUACAACUGAUGUCAGUAUUAAAGGAACACACUGUUAAAUUGCUAAAAGUUAAGCACUUCACUGAUUAUGUGACUAGUAAAGCUUCAUUAUUCUUGGGUCUAACAGAUUUCAAGACUUACUGCUAUUCGGUGGCAUGUAAAUGCAUUAUGAUGCCCUUCAGUGUCACAGGUGCUUGCAGACACCAACCGAAGUCACAGGGCUGAGCAGAUUAAGGCCAUUCGUGUGAUAUUAAAUGCAAUAUUCUGCACAUGUAUCUUUUAUAUAGCAAUGACUCCAAACUACUGUGCCUUAACGUCUUGCUUUCUUAAAUCUUUUUUUUUUUGUAGCAAAAUAUCACGUAAACUCCAGUUUUGAUGAACCCUGUUGUAAAUGUAUAGUGUGUACUUUUUAAAUGACUGUUGUGUUUCUAACGUUGUUUUGGUAAUUGCAAUUUAACUAGGUGCGGUGGCAACUAAAGUUCGAAGGCAUGAUAUGCGAGUCCAUCCUUAUCAAAGGAUUGUGACCGCAGACAGAGCCGCCACCGGCAACUAACCUAUGACCUUCUGACCUCUGAAUUCUUCACCCAAUGAUGACCUGACCAUGCCUGCCUGCUGAUCAGUUAACUGGUAAACGCCUCUGCUUGCCUGUCCUCAGUGCAGCAAGCUGAGGCUCUUGUCCGUUCGUCUUACCAUCUAACAAAAGACACAGAAAAAUGGUUAUCUUCCAACUCAACAUUUUUGCAUUUGUUUUUCUUUCCCUGAUUGGGUGAAAGUGAUUAUAGUAUCUGCACUGAAUUGUAGUAAAGCAAUAAGGUCCAAUUCAACCCUUCGCACUGAUCAUAUUCUAGUGUCCUAACCAAACGAACGGUAUCAAGGCUUCACCUACAGUACUGGCAAGACAACUGAUCCUCAACUACCAAUGACAGAGGCAGUUACUGUGAGAGACUCCUAGCGAACUCUAUUUUGUUUUUUUGUUUUUUUCUCUCGUAUAGUGAAGUAUAAAGCUGAAUGUACUGUGUUGUGAUGAUGCAUCAUGCAUGAACCUGAUUGGUCAGGGAAUUUCACUGGUGAAGUGAUUUUAUAUAUUUAAAAAAAUAUUAAAAUGAUCAAUUACUCUAGUCGCUACAGUACCCUCACAGUGUCAACUUUGCAGUUUCUUUUAUUUGUGAUUAUCACCUGCCAAAUUUAUUAAACUUAUAAGGGUGCCAUGACAUUAAGUUGUAAUCUUUUUACCCUGCUAUAAAAAUUAAUACUGCAGCAUUAUGUGCACACAAAUUUUGUGAUGCAAUUAGUAAAAUGUUAGUCACAAAGCCUCAAAUAUUAAAAUAUUGGAACAGGUACAUGCAUUAUGUAUCACAUUACUGGGCAAACUGUUCAAAUAUGUUUUACACCUCCCUGUAUAGAAAAAAAUAAUAAUUUAAGGAUGUAAAAGCCAUGCUUGCCUAUUUGCUGUAUAAUUGUAUUGAAAUUGUAGAUACAAGUGUAGUGCGUUGAAAACCUGAACAAAAAGUAGAUACUUUUACUAUACAAGGGUGCUGGUGCAGAAAAAAAUAUAUUUUUGGAAAUGUAGCAUUUUAUACUUUCAAGUGUUAUAAAAAAAGGAAAAACAAAAAAAAAAAUCAAAAAACAACCCUCUAUUGCAUUGAAUGCUUUUGUUUUGGUGGUAGUCAAGGAAUAAGACCAAAAAAGAGCCUUUUUUGUCUUUGUUUUUCUCCUUCACCCUUUUUCUCUUUCUUUAGUUUCAAUAUCUAUGUCUAAAGUCUAAGAAAAGAAAGUGCCUUAUUUUUCUCCAUGGUCAUUUAGUCCUGUGGUUUUUUUAUAGGUUUAUUCCUUUUUAUUUACGUCACGGUCAAUUGGCCUUUAGCAUGUUGCCAAGCAAGUUUGGAUAGGCCUCAAGCAGUAUGAGAAAUUCAAAAAUUCAGUUGAGCUGUAUAAUUCAGUCGCCCAGUACAAUAUUGUAUUAAGAACUUAACUGAUGGUAGCCACAAAAAGCUUUUCAUAAGUCAUAACUUUGUUGCCUGUACCUUAUGCCAACUACAUUUUAGUAUUGCCAAUCUCCUGUGUCUAUUGAACAGUUUUGUAAAAUGUUGCUGCAUAUGUAACAUUCUUAAGUAAUUUUGUUCUGUUACAAAUGUGGCAAUUUUCUGAGGUAUUUGUUCCCAGUAUUGUCAGCCCUGCCCUCUGUGUAGUGUAUUAUGCAGUCCCAAUUAAAGGUCAGCACUAAAACCUAGAGCUUUUAGAUUUCAAGCACCUUUGUGGUGACCUAGUCUCCCAUCUCACUGGAACGAAUUCUCAGUUGAUUUACUAUGCAACAGACAUUCAUGCUUUCCUAGUCAACAUCUACCUUUUUAAUCCCCAUGCCACCAGCUUUGUCUUCCUGGUCAUUAUAUACAGUAUAUCAGUUUAUUUUUGUUUCUUCCCUUUCCAGGGAAUGGUUUUGAACAAGUUUGGAACACUUUUGCAUUUAGAGAGAUCAAACCAUUUAAAAAUCAGUAUUUGAUCCAGAUUCAUCUCAGUUGUGAUAAACCUGGACCAUUUAUUCUUAGAUGACUUUAGAUUUUUUGGGGGAGUGGUGGAUGGUGUGAAAGUCUAUUAAAUAGACAUAUGUAAGUCAGAAUUUCUAUGAACAAACUUAGGAACAAAUGGGUCAACUUUAAUCUAAAAGCAUGACUAUUAAAAUCUCUGAAUGCCUUUGAUCUCAGUAUUAUGAUUUUUGUUUUCUUUAUAAUUAGUUUUUUUCAGUCUUUUUUUUUUUUCUUUGACAGUAUUAUAUUUUUUAUUUUUAGAGUGUUUAGAUGGGGAGUGUCGCUGAUAUGUAACCGUAUAGAUGAAACGUAUUUGUCUAUUCUUUAUAACCUUAGUAGUUUCAUGCUAUGUAUGUAUCAUAACCAACCUUUGCCUAAAAUGUAAAAUAAUGUAUUUACAGCCAUUGUUACAAGUUUAUAAUGUAUUUUUCUAUCUUGUUUUAUAUGUAUGUUAUAUAACAUUCAAAUGGAACUUUUCCUGAUUGAGAAAAAGGAUACAAAAUGCAAACCCCACAAUUUUGAUAACUAAAAUUGCCAAUUGUUUUGCAGUACUUUAUUAUAUUGGGAGUGUUGUCUUUCUUGGCUUCUAGUUAGCGACUGGAUGAGAUUAGACAUACUGGGUUUUAGUUGGGUUUUUACAUGGCUUGCAUUUUAAUUCUUUGGUUCUUUGCUGUUUCUUAUUAACCCCAUAGCAUUAUUUUAAUAAAUGUUAUAAUACCAAGAUACUAA